UUUCUAUGGAUUCAUCUCUAUUCAGAGGUUUGAAAUGCAAUUAUCUCACCUUACGCCUAAAGGUAGUCUCUUUCAACCACAGGUGAAAAAUAACCCAUAUGGAUCAUGCCUUGAAACUGACCACCUCAAAAUGUCAUUUAAAGGCUGAUGCAAUACACAUAGAAGUCAACGGAAGGUUAUCAAGACUUACAGGAAUAAUUUGACACAGCUAAACACCUGCUUUGUCUUCAAAGAUAUGUAA